GACCCUAAAAAGUCCUUUAAACACAAAGGUUUGGUCCCAACCUUGAGAUCAGUUGCUACUUUAUAUACACAUGCAAGUCUCCGCACUCCUGUGAAAACGCCCUUAAAUCCCUAUAAUGGAUAAGGAGCUGGUAUCAGGCACAAGAAUUAGCCCAAAACACCUAGCUAUGCCACACCCACACGGGAAUUCAGCAGUGAUUAACAUUGAAAAUAAGCGCCAGCCUGAAUCAGUUAAAGUUAAGAGAGCCGGCAAAUCUGGUGCCAGCCGCCGCGGUUACACCACGUGGCUCAAACUGACCUCUUCCGGCGUAAAGCGUGAUUAAAGUUUAUCUUUUACUGCAAUUAAACUAGAACUAAGCUGUGACACGCUUAUUUCUAAGAAAACCACUAACGAAAGUUAUUGCAACCCUAAAAACUUGAACUCACGACAGCUAGGGAACAAACUGGGAUUAGAUACCCCACUAUGCCUAGCCGUAAACUUUCAAUUACACCUCAACCGCCAGGGAACUACGAGCAAAGCUUAAAACCCAAAGGACUUGACGGUACCCCACAUCCACCUAGAGGAGCCUGUCCUAUAAUCGAUAACCCCCGCUUAACCUCACCAUUUUUGGCUAUUCAGCCUGUAUACCUCCGUCGUCAGCUUACCACGUGAGCGCAAACUAGUGAGCUAAAUGCCCUUACACCAACACGUCAGGUCAAGGUGCAGCAUAUAAAAUGGGAAGAGAUGGGCUACACUAUCUAAUCUAGAUUACACGAAAGACUAUUUAUGAAAUCUAGUCAGAAGGCGGAUUUAGAAGUAAAGAAAGACCAAAGUGCUUUCUUUAACUCGGCACUGGGGUGUGUACACACCGCCCGUCACCCUCUUCAAAGCUUAAAUUUAGUUUAUUACAUCAUCAAGCAUUACAGAAGAGGCAAGUCGUAACAUGGUAAGUAUACCGGAAGGUGUGCUUGGAAA
rnacentral:ncRNA from 1 species